CGGGCCGGGGCGGCGGGACGAGCGGGGAUGUGCGGCCCCGGUGCGCCCGGCGGGACGGGAGCUGCCCGCGGCGCGGGCGGAAUGGUAACGGAGCGGGAGGUGCGCGGGACAUCGGAGGCGGUUCGCUGGAAGCGGGAGCUGGGACUUGCCCGCUCGGCGGUUUCCCGGCAGUGGAGGCAGGAGUUGGGCUGUGGGUGACUUAAUGGUCUUGGAGGUCUUUUCCAACCUCGGCGAUUCCACGAUUCUGUCACAUUGCGGGAAGCUCAGCGGGCAGAGCCGGUUAAGUCAGGGCUGUGUCAGUGCUGCGGCACUGACUUGGUGCUGUGGGGUUUUCUGAGUGUUGGGCAUGUCGUGUAGGCAUACUUCGCACUGCGCGUGUGCCAGGCGAAUAGCAGCUGGAACGUGAGUGGGUCUAAAACAUCCUCGUGGAGUAGAGUUUCUCAUGAGAUACAGAUGACAGGAGAUGCUGCUCAUACAGAGUGUCAUGGCAGAUGUGGCUGCUGAAGACUGUGACAGGUGGAGCCGACCCGUGCCAUCGCUUGUGUCAGAGACAACUCCUCACCCUGGGUUUUUCAACACGUGCUUUGGUCCACUGCCACUUCUGUUCUACUGAAAUGCUCUGAGCCUUGGCUGGAUUGAGCCUGGUAUUUGCUAUUAGUGAGCUGUCAGGCUUAUGAGGAGCGGCUGAGGGAACUGCGAUUGUUCAGUCAGGAGAAGAGGAGAGCCAGAGGUGACCUAUUCACUUUCUGCAACUGCCUGAAAGGAGGGCGCGGCGAGCUGGGGGUCAGCCUCAAGUUGAGGGGAGGUUCGGGUUGGAUGUUAGGAAAAAUUUCUUUUCUGAAUUGUCAGGUGCUGGAAUGGGCUUUCCAGGGAGGUGGUGGAGUCACCAUCCCUUGCAGGCGUUCAAGAAAUGUGGAGAUGUAGCUCUGAGGGAUGUAGUUGCUGGGGAAACAUUGGUGGUAGAUGGAGGGCUGGACUAGAUGUUCUGGAAAAUCUUUUCCAACCUUAGUGAUUCUAUACAUUUUGUAUUACUUUUUUUUUUUUUUUUUUUCAGCAGAAGCCUGUCCUUUUCUACUUAGUCCUAAAUACUGCUUUAAUCCCUUUUUCCUAGUAGCAAAGCACAUUUUUCAAUACAAAUGGUUGCCAUAUUUAUAUUGAUAAAUUUUUAUCAAUCAAAAAUUUAUUUUCAGAAUGAGUGGUGAAGCAUUGGGACAGGCUGCUGGGUGAGGUGGUGGAGUCACCGUUUGUGGAGAUUCUGGAAAUGUGGCUCUUAAGGACAUGAUAGAAUAAGAGUUGAGAGAUGGAUUCAGUCAUCCAGUCUGAGGGCCACCCAUCUUGCCAGUCUGUCUUUGGAGACUUAAAAUGUAAGGAUGACGGAGCACUGGAAAAGGCUGCCUUAGUUGUGCAGUUUCCUUCUAUGGAGACAUUCAAGACCCAUCUGGACACCUACCUGUGUGACCUACUGCAGGGAAGUUGCUUUAGCCGGGGGUUGGACUUGAUGAUCUCUUGAGGUCCCUUCAAACACCUGCGAUUCUCUGAUUCUGUGAUUUCUUAAAUGUUAAAAAAAAGCAUUCUGACAUGUGAAGACAUUAGAGACAAAACUGGAAAGAUGUUAAAAUACAGUUUCUAAGUUGGUAGUUACCUUUUCAUGAUAAAGAUUUGAUUCAUGAAAGAAAUGGUAUGUAGACCGCUGAAAUAAGGCUUUUAUGUGAAGAAAACCAGAGCAGGUCAAAAAUAAUACUCUCUGUAAAGCAGUGUGCAUAUCUUGGUGCAAGUACUGUGACUCUAGCUUAGGCUGGUGAAAAGGUAUGUGCCUAACUUUGCACAUUUUAUAGUUUUGCUUUCUGAAGCAAGACUAUAGCUGCUGCAUAAAACAGAUCGUAUACAUGAGUCACUGAAGAGUAGAGACUUGCUCACUAUUAGGUGAGAUCUGUGGUUCGGCUGCUCUUACAUCUGUCAGUGAUAAGAUCCCAUGGUACUGUUGCAACAGUAAUAGAAGUCUCACAGUCCCUUGAAAACACUCUAAGUGUACUUAGUGGUUAGUGUUUUUCUUGUGGUUCCAGAUGAGUUAAUUGUACUUCAUUUUUCUUUCCUUUCAAACGAUUUUGAUAGCAUUCCUAGCAUGGAUUAAAAAAGAUAAAGCCACAUCUAAUUGCAAUAAUCAAAUACAGACUUUUUACAUGUAUUUUUAUAUUCAUAGCCACAUUUUUAGAGACAUUUAUAUAUGCUUUUUGCAUAUAAUACUUUAAUUAUUGGAUUUCCUGAAAUAUUAUUACCAGUGCUUUCCAUGUAAAUACAAAUUUUUAUUGUGGAGACAUUACUGUAUUUCAGGAAACACUUAUUUUCUCUUUCAUUCUCUGAAAUCAGUGUGAGCACUCCCCUCAGUUUAAUUAUACCUGUAUUUCACCUUAAGUUUUAUGGGAAGAGUUGUAGCAAUAACUACAGUUAAGGUUGCCUAACAUCUUCUGUUGUAUAAAUUCUGUACAUAAGAACAGAGGAAGAGGGUACAAUAAAACAAGUCAAGAUUAGCAAAGUUAAUUUUAUCUGGGUUACUUCAAAAACCAGAAAGAUUUAUUAGGGACUCAGUGUUGUAUUUUUAAGUGCAAUUUGACUGAUAUAAUUUUAACUAAUUAUUGUUAUGUAGUUCAAAAGAAUGGCAAAGACAUUACUUCACAGCAUUUCUAAAGAAACAAAUAGAGAAUUAUCAGUAUUUUAACCUAUAAAAUAUUUUAAAAAUACAUGUUUUCCAAAAAUGUUAAAGAAGCAUCAUUUACCUUCUUGUUUUUCCCAGACCACUGCCUGAGGCUAAUCUUAGCAACACUUUGUACUACCACUGUGAUUUACUAAUUAAAGUUAUCUUAAAUUAUAACAUCUUUAAUACUGCUGAAGAUGGUGAAGUGUAUAUAAUUAUUUCUUUGAAAAAGAAAGGAAUUAUAAAAUUUUAAAUUACUGUUUUCUGUAACGCAUUGCCAUUAUUUCAAGUAGUGUUUACUUCCCUUGCUCAGAAUACCAUUUAUGAUGUUUGAUUGCAAAUGUUUUUGUAUAAAGGAAAGAAGGACUAUUUUCCAAAUACUUGUCUUUGGUAGUGUAGUAGCUAAAAGUAUAGAAUCUGAUCUAAGCUAGGAGCACUGAUACGUGUGUGUUAGACACAGACCUUCACUAUAAAAGGAUCCUUUCAUAAAAAUGUGGAAGUCCUAAUCCAAAGUUCACUGUAAUUGGCAGCAUUGUUCUGUUUCCAGUGGUAUCUGCCUUUGGCUAUUAUGGAGUAGAAAAGCAUCUACACUAUUUGUAUAAAUAUCAUGAGCAGUCUUUGUAUAUUUGCUAGCAAAGGGGUCCUUAAUCUGCCACUACAUCAAAAGGGUCUGCACAGCCACUCACAAAGGCAUAAUAGUAAUAAAAAUCCUGCAGAAACUGUGCAUGAAGCUGCUAUUUGGAGAAUGGCCCCCACCUGGCUCCAUUCAGACAGGAGUUAGCCAUUGUCAGGAGAACACCUGAGUGCACUCAGCAUGGACUUCUACUCUGCUACCAGAUCCUGCCUGAAACAGCAUCUGAAUUGCUUGUGUGCAAGGAGGAAAUUGUACUGGCAGCAGGAUGCCGAGAUACACACAUUGGCUCAUGUUCAUAAUGCUUGGGGUGAUCUCAUAUUCACAUAGCAUUCACAGUGUUUAUGGUCUCAUGUUUAUGUGGCUUGGGUAUAGCUUCUGUCUGUCUGAUCUGGAAUGGAGAAAUUUAGUUGGAGCACAGCCAGGGCGCCUGUAUGAUGCUGGUUCUGGUCUGUGAGCCCUGUCCGUGCCUCUGUGUAACACAAAAGGUGUACCCAUAGAACGUUAGUCAGGAUUCAUAGCAAAUCAGCUGUAACACAAAGGCAGACUGGCCUGGUAUGAAAAAGGCUGCUUGCCUGUGGUGGUUGAAAGUACAAGGGCUGCCCCAAAAGUAAUGCCUCCUAUUUUAUUAUGUUAAUCUGUGAUGUCAGAAGCAGAUGUUGGUGGUAUGGCAGCAGAGGUUGAACCUUCCACCAGUAUUCCAUUAUAUUUUGUUGCUGUGUGACAGAUGGCAGCAGAGGGGCAUUCUGACAGAACGACAUCUUACAUGGAAGUGCAUAUGAAGCAAAGGUGUGAAAUUAAAUUCCUGAAGGCAGAAAAAAUUGUAUCCAUU